UACGUAGGGGGCAAGCGUUGUCCGGAUUUAUUGGGCGUAAAGAGCGUGUAGGCGGCCUUACAGGUCAGCUGUGAAAACUCGAGGCUCAACCUCGAGACGUCGGUUGAAACCGUUUGGCUAGAGUCCGGAAGAGGAGAGUGGAAUUCCCGGUGUAGCGGUGAAAUGCGCAGAUAUCGGGAAGAACACCCGUGGCGAAGGCGGCUCUCUGGGACGGUACUGACGCUGAGACGCGAAAGCGUGGGGAGCGAACAGG
rnacentral:rRNA from 1 species